rnacentral:rRNA from 1 species
AGAGUUUGAUCCUGGCUCAGGAUGAACGCUAGCUACAGGCUUAACACAUGCAAGUCGAGGGGCAGCGGGAUUGAAGCUUGCUUCAAUUGCCGGCGACCGGCGCACGGGUGAGUAACGCGUAUCCAACCUUCCGUACACUCAGGGAUAGCCUUUCGAAAGAAAGAUUAAUACCUGAUGGUAUGAUGAGAUUGCAUGAUAGCAUCAUUAAAGAUUUAUCGGUGUACGAUGGGGAUGCGUUCCAUUAGGUAGUAGGCGGGGUAACGGCCCACCUAGCCAACGAUGGAUAGGGGUUCUGAGAGGAAGGUCCCCCACAUUGGAACUGAGACACGGUCCAAACUCCUACGGGAGGCAGCAGUGAGGAAUAUUGGUCAAUGGACGAGAGUCUGAACCAGCCAAGUAGCGUGAAGGAUGAAGGUCCUACGGAUUGUAAACUUCUUUUAUAAGGGAAUAAACCCUCCCACGUGUGGGAGCUUGUAUGUACCUUAUGAAUAAGCAUCGGCUAACUCCGUGCCAGCAGCCGCGGUAAUACGGAGGAUGCGAGCGUUAUCCGGAUUUAUUGGGUUUAAAGGGAGCGCAGACGGGUCGUUAAGUCAGCUGUGAAAGUUUGGGGCUCAACCUUAAAAUUGCAGUUGAUACUGGCGUCCUUGAGUGCGGUUGAGGUGUGCGGAAUUCGUGGUGUAGCGGUGAAAUGCUUAGAUAUCACGAAGAACUCCGAUUGCGAAGGCAGCACACUAAUCCGUAACUGACGUUCAUGCUCGAAAGUGUGGGUAUCAAACAGGAUUAGAUACCCUGGUAGUCCACACGGUAAACGAUGGAUACUCGCUGUUGGCGAUAUACUGUCAGCGGCUUAGCGAAAGCGUUAAGUAUCCCACCUGGGGAGUACGCCGGCAACGGUGAAACUCAAAGGAAUUGACGG